rnacentral:lncRNA from 1 species
ACCCAGAAAAAAACACUGUAGUGCAAGGAUAAAGUUAUUCUGCUUCUCACUGUUCUUAAUACCUCUUAUGGCCAUGAUGUUAGAAAGUGUCAGUGUUCCCUGUUGUGCUGACAUCACAGAGCUAGGGUGGUGACGUACUACCCAUUCACCUACUGGAAGAAGCACCUUCAUGCUGUGAAAUUCCUCCUACCUGAGAAAGAAAACUUUUUUUUCCCCAUACUUUCAAGAGGCAGAGGCAGUCAGUUUGAAUAGCUAUAGUUUUUUAGCAUAGGUGAACAAAAAAGGAAGAGAAGAACCAAAAAUAGCAUCUUCUCUGAGAGCAUGAAGGUUUUGCUUCUUCCACAGCACACUGUAUCAACACUGCUCCACAAAAUGGCAGCUGGCUGGCAGACACAAGCUUCUGAGAAGGAUGAUGUAAUACUCCCUGGAAAAUUAAACAGCUGCCAUGAAGCUAUACAUCCUGCUGUGCUGGCUCCCAAAAUGUAGUCUUGAGGCCCAGAGUGUGGUACACCAUGAGUGCCAGGCCUGCAUCCCCACCAGGGAAAGGCUGUGCCCCCCAGGAGGGAGGAGACACCACUGAACCCUCACUCAUCAGAAAGCAGGCAUCCAGAUUGUCCCAGAAAGACAGACAUAUGGUGAGCUGCUGUCCGGAAGAGUCUUACAGCAGUUUCAGCUGCUUAGUGAAACCUGUGGAGCCACAUGAGAUGAGAGAAAGGAGCACAAUGCAGAUAUCUUCCAGCCUUUCAAAGACUGUAAAGGGUGGAUGCCUGCAGAAGGUAC